CUCUUUGCUACAGGGCUGACCAAUUUACGUGCAACCUGUCACUCCAGCAUUUGUUGCAAACCAUUCUGAAGGGCCUGGUUGAUCUUUCUGGUAGAUCUUACUCUUUGGAAGCUAAGGCCCCAACUCCUUUCCUAACCCCCUGUCAAACCCUGCCAGCUGACUUAGACCCCUCUUCCUUAAAUUCUAUAUCCAGAUUGGUUUUUACUUCAUGAAAUCUCUUUUUUUCUGUUCCUACCCUGCACCAGCAUUAGGGACAGGAUGUCAGGGUUCUGUCCUCAGCUUUACUGUUAACUUGCUGUGUGUGUCCUUGAUCACCUCCCAUCUCCUCUCAGCCUCCCUUUCUCCAUCUGUAAAAUGUGGUUAUUGGCCGAGCCUUCUGUGAUACCAUCAUUUAGUCAACGUGGAGGAUACUGGCCACUUCUCUUUCCUUUCCUGAGGCAGGAGUCCCUUGUGACAUCCCUUAGCAGUGGGGGUCUGUACUGGACGCAGCCCCACAUCAAGGGGGCUGUAUCCUGCCCAAGAGCAAACUCUCCUUUGGAAUAGCUGUAGCCAGUUCUAAAAUAGCCCUGACAUCCUCCUCCUGCCUGGAGAAAGCCCUCGUAUUUCAUUUGCUGUGGAUGCCAGAGACGACCUGAUUUUCAUUUUCUAUAGACCCAGAUGUGUAGAGAGAAGGUCAAGGUUAACUGCCAGUUUGGCCUGAGCUUUCAAAGUAAAUUAUUCACUUGUGCAAGAGGGGAUUGAUGGAGUAAGGCAGCCUUUGGGGCAGAGAGAGAGGGGAGCAACAGCUGGGCGCUGCUCCGAGCCCUUCACUGAAAUGGACAGAGAAGCUCAUCUGGGAAGGUCUAGUUCUUGUUCAUUUCUUUUUCUCUGGAAUAUCAUGAAAGCAAAAAGGAGGAAGUAGUGGUAAAGGGGCUUGGUGAUAGUGGUAGGGGGUGUCAGCUGAUGAUCCUUGCUUUAAAAUAAAAAUCUGAGGCUUCUGGGAGCAACAGAGUGGAGCUGUUUCCCCAACGAUUUGCUCUUGUAGAUGCUAUAGGAUUCAGCAUUCAUCUGCUGCCUUUCAGGAACACUCUGCCAAAUUUUCACACAGCUCCUUUUUGUUUCACUCUCCUGCAGAUGCACAGCACCAGGCUUGGCCCCCGGUCCUUGUUUGAAUGUCAGCUGGCCUCGAGGGAGGAGGCUGACUUCUCAAAGCGCUGGUGUUCCGUCCCUCAUCCCAGUGCACUGGGACGUGCACAUCAGGCUGCGAUCUGGGGACUCUGGCAUCUCGAGCACACAGAGCUGCAGUCGACCCGGCUGACCAGUUCUGAGCUCAGCUUGUCAUUCUUGUAAUUGUUGAGAAUUAUCCCAGAGCUCCUCAUUGAUCUUUUGAGUAGAAAUAACUGCAGAGGCUCUGGGGGGACGUCAGAUGACAGGACUUUAUCCAAAUGAAAACUAUAUUCCUUGUGGGUUUGAGAGAAGUUUCCUUGUGGCUUUGAGAGAAGGGUAGCAUACUUGCUGUUUGAGUAGUCCUUUAACUCCUUGAUUUCUCCACUGGACUAAAGAAUAUAGGAUUUCAAAUUCAGAACCUAAGUCUUUGUAAUUCACGCUAGCUCAUCCUGGGUGUACCGCUGGAGCUGGGUCAGGCAGCUGAUUUGUAAAGGACACAUAAUGCAUCUAGGAUUUGAGCACUCAUCUGGUCAGACAGCUGGCUUCUUGGAAAGUCGCAAAACCAAGUAAGAAAAGCCAAUCUUGAAGCCAUCUUCAUUUUAAUUCGGGGGUGCCGCUCAUUCCUGGUCCCAAUCCGCUUAACAUCUUGGUUUAAUUCUGUGGUCUGUUUCAUAUUCUAGGCUCGGGAACAGGCUGUUAAAAACCUGUGCUAAAGAAACGUGAUGCAGUCCCUCCCAAUUUCUGAGCCAUAAUCUCUCGUGAAAAAUGACUUCAUUGGAUAAUAGCAAGUGUGGAAAUAGAAAUUGGUGGGAUAAUGGAAUACCAAUGACUUUUAUUUUCAAAUGUCAAUAGUUUUUCUCACUGUGUCAGACCUGAACUUUAUUCUUAGAACAUCCAGAAAUCAAUACUUAACUCUCCUCCCAUUUUUCAGUCUUCUUGGUGGCAGAGCCUCACCCAUCAGAAAGUGAAGUACCAUGGAAAUGCAGCCUUGGAAUGAUUUCUUUAAUUUUCCACAGAGGGGGUGGGAUCCUUUAGAUUACUAAUCACUUCUCUGUCUCCAUGCCCAGCUGAAAUCUGAUGCUGAUGGAGAAGAGUUGUUGAUUUACCUGCACAGAUCUGACUUCCUUCAUUCUUUUCUCAUCCCAGUCUUGCCAUCUCCUGGGGGAGGCCAGUCCUGGAAGGUCUGGGAACAGGACUGUGUUUCAGUUCACUCUUUUGCCUUGAACUCAUGGUAUGACCUCAGGGAAGUGGUUUAACCUCUCUGGGCCUUAGAUUCUCCAUCUGUGAGGUAAGCGCUCAGAUUCAGAAGGAAAAGGUUAAUGUGUAUCAUAAGUGCUUCCGCUCUCCGGGCCAGCAACUGCAUUGCUAAUUGUCUUUUUAGGGCCACAUCUGAGGCAUAUGGAAGUUUCCAGGCUAGGGGUCGAAUCAAAGCUGCAGCUGCCAGCCUAUGUCACAGCUACAGCAACACCAGAUCUGAGCCGCAUCUGUGACCUACACCAGAGCUCACAGCAAUGCCAGAUCCUUAAUCCACUGAGUGAGGCCAGCGAUUGGAACCCGAAGUCCUCAUGGAUACUAGUCGGGUUUGUUGCCACUUAGCCACAAUGAGAACUCCCAGAAGUGUGUUUAAACAGGCCUCUGUAUCUACCUUGUGAUGAGACCUCUAUUUAGAGAGGUGUUCGUACUGCAGGGCCUUCUUCUAAGUCUAAGGAUGUUCAGCCUUUAAUCUGUUGGUUCCAGUGACACGAUAACAAAUAAUAGAAUCAGAAAUGAGAAAGCAAAGGCCCAUUUAAAGGAUAACCAUCUCACUUGCUAAUUGUACCUUGUCCGCGGUCUGCUCUUACACAGAGAUGGCAUCAGGAUCUCAUCACUAAAAAGCACCCUGAGGCAAACUUGGCAGCCAGAAGCGUGUCCAGUGGCGGCUAAAAGCUCAUGAUGGUGUCUGCAGUAGGCUCUGUAUUUUGCAUACAUCUGACCAUAUCCCAUAUAUGUGUCAGUGCCAGUAAAGGAAGAGCUGAUGCCCCCAGGGAGGAUUUAAAUAAGAAUCUUGCUUCCCAGAGAACUGCUGUCCACAUGCACAGCGGGGUGGGGAAACGAGGUCGCCUGUACCUGCCCGAGUUCCUGUGGCUGAGGAGUGUAUCACUUCUUCCUCUCCCGGGAAUGUCUUAGAGUAGGAACCACAUCCUCUUCUAGCAAAUAGCAUAAGCCUUGGUACUUGGAAGACAGUCAGAAGGUGUUUGGGGAGUGAUCCAUAUGUGUCAGAGCGGGAAGGGUGCUUGAGAAGUCACCUAAGUCCAAGCCCCUCAUAUAGUAGUUAUGGAAAGUGAGGCUCAGGUGAGGGGAGAUGAAUUCUCAGAGGGUUGCAGACUCAAGCGCAGUUCUUCUCCAAGUUCUUGCUCUGGUUCAUCACAUGUAUCCCCCUGCCCCCAUAUUCUAAUAUUUGACCCUUCUUAUGGUUGUAUCCCUCAAGAGCCAAGAUGAUCACGUCAGGUUUUGGAGGCCAGUAUUUAUCAGGACCGAUUAUCUGCUGGAACUUAUCAGGCUUUUUUGCACAUCUAUUUUUGUCAAUUUACUUCCUGAAUUUUUAUCGUUUUAUGGCAAGUAAAAUGGAUUCCAUUUUAAGGUGGCAAUGGAAUCCAGCAGGGGAAUAGAGGAAUUAAAAGGAUGCAUCACAUGUGGCACCAUUACUGUCCCCCACUUGCUCCUGGUGGCAGACAGAGCCCAUCUGAGUUUAAGAGCCAUCUCAGGUUCUGCCAGUUGCAGUUAACAGAAUGAAUUACGCCACAUGCGGUGAAAUGAGUAAGAGACUGUAUUAGCUCCUGUAAUUGCAAUGGACUUCAGAUGUGUUACAAUCCAGAGGUUCAUGUGAUAGAUUGAGCCCCAAGGUAGGAAAAAAAGGGUUGUAACUCUUUCUGACCUCAUAGUCACACCCAGAGGAGCAAGUCUAUCUCUUUUGGUAGUUUCUUUAUAAGAGAGAGGAAACUUCUUUCCUAUAAACUCUAGCAAGCCUUCUUAGGUGUUACUGGGCCAAUUUGGAGCAGAUGUGCUCUCUGAACCACGAAAGCUUGUCAGGAGGAUGAACUAUGCUGAUUUGACCUACCCCACCCUGGAGCUAGGGGUGGGGUCAGGCCUUCCAAAUUGUGGAGCAGCUUCCCAGAGAAAAAUCUGGAUGCUCUUGUGGGAAGCAGGGGAAAUGAAACCUAGGGAUGAAGCCAGCAAAUAGCCGCUCCGGAAUCCUGCUGACGCCGUGUCCCAGGCAGUCGCUGUGGGGGCAUCAGAUCUGUCCUGGAGACAAAACCUCUUUGCCACCCUGUACUCUGUGGGCCUCAGGGUUCUCCUGGGAAAGCUCAGGCACGAAGGCUUCCAGCACAGAGUAAGGAGAGGGUUAAGAUGAAGAGCGGAUAAAAGCUGCUUUUAUUGAAUCUCACUUAUGAGUUUUGCUGCCGCCUUCUUUUCCCCUCACAGGCGUCCUGUGAGCUGCCCCUCUCCCUCCCGCCCCCACUCCCACACAUUAAAAGGCAGUUCAUUGAAAAAUUUUCUCAAGCUGAAAAAGAACUUCUGUCUCUUCAGCUUCGACUUUUUUCCUGCCUGGCCCUUCUUAGCUGGAGGAGGCGGAGUGUUCAUACUUUGGAAGCUAGAGGAAGCUAAACAAUUCCACUUGCUGUGGUGGGUGGGUGUGUAUUUAUGAGUGUGUAGCUUUCUCUCCAUGUGUUUCUCUUCUCCCUUUUCUUAUCUUUGGAUGGUUCCUGUUUGCUGCCCUCUGCUGAGUAUAGAUAGGAGAAGGAAGGGAGAAAAGCAGGCCCAUUUCUUCUUUCCCUUUGGUUUUGAGAGAAUUCUGAGCUUCAGAUGCCGAAAUGUCUUUGGUUUUCUCAGAUGAUGUAAGCCGCAGUAUGAAAUGACACAAGAAAGAUGAUCGUGAAGAUGAUCAUGUUAACGAUAGUAAAGCAGCUGCCAUUUACUUAUCAUUUAUGCUGCCCGGCUUUGGACUAAUAAGCCCUUUACCUGCAUGUCCGGUUAAAUACUCACAAUUAUAAACAGGUGGGAACCCGAGGGCGAGGGGGCUCACAGGUGCGGGUACUUGCCCGGGGAUGCUCAGCCUGUGGUUGUGGAGCUGGUGUUCUAGCCUGUGAGUCUCUGACUCAACGCCUCGGCAGGACAAAGCCCUGCAUCUCCCCGCCCCCCCGCCUCUUCUCCUCUCCUGCAGGGCCAACGUGGGAACCCUGAUGAUAUCUGUGCAGAGGGGAGAGACCAUUGCUCUUAAGACUGAACUUCCUCAGUGGCCGAUGAAGAGCCCACAAGGUUACUCGGUGACCUUGAAGAGGAACCUCUGCCCUACCCGCUACUGAAGCCCCCCUUGGCAAAGGGGCUCCUCAGUCCCCCUAGAUUGACACCCUGUGGGGCAGCAUGUGGGGCUCUAGCUUUGGAGCUGCACUGCCCGACUCCGAUGCCUAGCCGUGGGCACGUCCCUUGACCUCCAUGCAGGAAUUCCUGGCCUGUAAAACGAGGAUAAUGUUAACUAUACUGAGGUGGGGGGUGAGUUCUGAAGGCUGGAUGUGUCGCUGUGGGUGGAGCCCUGAGCAUGAGGCUUGGUCCAGAAGGGGUCAGGGAGUGGUGGGGCAGCUCAUGGGCCAUGCCUGGCUUCGAGGAGGCAUCUGUUCUUCUGGCCUCCCUGCGGCAGAGGUAGGGAGGGAUGCCUGUGUCAUCAUUGCUCUUUGGUAGGUGGAUGGCCUUGUGCUACAGGCUUUGGCAGCAGAGAAGGACCAGACAUGUCUCAUUAUUAGGGGUGGAGGAGGGGUGCACAUGCAGGCUGCUCUUUGUACCCCACUCCCUGACUCUUUGGAUCUGAAGCAGUCAUUGGGGUGCCCAGCCAUUUCCUCCCCUGGGAGAGAACCCAGACCCUCUGCAUCCUUCUAGGCAAUAUUCUUUGAUUCCUCCAGGAAGUGUUCUUCGGUCACUCCAGCCCCCAGGGGUCGCUCACCCACCUUAGUUCCCCUGCUCCUCGGCCUUCUCCUCUGCCCACUUAGACCAGGAAGUGGUCUUCCUGCCAGUCCAGGAAGGUGUGGACUUGUCUUUCUGCUUCGUCCCUCCCUGCCUCUGUCCUUGUGUCCGUGCGUGCGUGUGAGCCUCUGGGCCUCCACACAUGCUGCUCCCUUGCUGCUGACACCUUUCUUCCUGCCACCUCGCCCCUAAGCCUGACUCACCCCUGCUUGGGGAGCCUUAUGGAAAUGUAUCAUGCACUGUAGUCAUCAUUUUUGACCUGUCCAUGCAGGAGCAAACCUCGAUCUCAUCACCCUCUCUUAAUUGUCCAAAGUAUUUGCUGAGGGAAUGAAGAAGCAGGCGAAUGAGUGAGUGACUGGUAAGUGGGUUCUUGGUGACUCCUGGUCCAGUGCAGGAAGUCUGGAAUCCUUCUUGUGGAAUCUCAGGGUGCUUCAGCAUCUUUCAGGAGCCUGUUAACAGGGAUCCUCCAUGGAGACUGCUUGAGUCUAGGGUGGCCACCUAUCCAGCAAAUCCUACUGAGUGCAGCAGGUAACUCUUCUCUCCGUCCACCUCCCUGCUUGUCAGCACCCCAGGAGGCAGAUGUCGCCUUCUCCAGGUGCACCCCCCCCAGGAGCAUUUUGCACGCCUAUUCCUGGGGAGUGCUUUUAUUUGCAGUUUCCCUGAGUUGCAAGCCAGCGGUCCCCAGGGGAACUCUGUGGUGCCUGUUAGUAGUGGCACCAUAUCAAAUGUAAACAGCUCAGAAUCCGGGAUUGGCAUCUGAGUUGGGCAGUGCACUUUGCAAAUCCCUCUGCAGUGGGCCCCAGGGACUCUCUGGGGCUCAGCAGCUUUGUUUUCUGCUGGCACAUGUGAGCUGUUGCCUUUCCAGGCUGGGUGCUCUGCCUUCCUGCUGUGGGGACAAGGGUGAGGUGCCUGGAAGUGUGUGUGGAGGUGCUGCACUAAGGGCCUUCUUGGGAAGGGGUUACAUUAGGAAAACCCUGCGAGCUUUUCCCUUGAGCUGGACCGAGUGUGCAACUGACAGCCAGCACCGCCGGUUCCCAGGCCCAGCUCUGCCUUCUCCUAAAAUGGGCACCAUCAGCACUCUUUCAUCGUGUUGUAGUGAUGUUUAUGUCCCACUAAAGAUGAGACAACUAAGAGGCAGAGAGGAUCCAUGACAUAUCCAGGGCCACACAGCUGGGAGGUGAUGGGAACAGGACUCCAGCCCAGGGGUCUCCCUCCAGCAGACCAGAGCUCACAGCCCUAGGCCUCCUCCUACUGCCUUACCACCCACUGGCCCUGACCCUGGGUGAGUGCACCCUCUUCCCUGGAUGGGAGGAGGCCACAGCGGGAGGAUAUUGCUGAGGGCCUCAGGAGCCUGAUUCUUGUAUCCAUUGUGCUGGUUCUGGAAAGCUCUUCCACGAGCCAAAUGCUCCAGCCAGGAUUCUAGCAGGCCCCACAGGCCACCUGGGGGCUUCCUAAGAGCCCAGUUAACCACAGUUGUGCGUUUGGGUGGGUCUCCCACUGGUUACACUUGUUGGCCUCCUGGAGGAGGUGUUGCUGAGCAGAGGGGGCUGGUGGGACAUGGGAGGAAAGAGGUUUCUUAAAGGGAACAGGUUGGAAACAUCUGGCGGGGGAGUGUGUGUGAAAAUUACUUCCUGCUGCUCAAGCACAUUGUAUGUGCUCAACUGAAAACUGUUAUUCUGCAUGUUUCCUCCUGAGUAUUGAUCAGAGUCAGCUGCUGACAGUUAAAAUGUGUAUGUGUGCUCAUCUAUUUGUGAAAUAACCAGUUUCUAAAUUUGGCAUCCAACUUCAGUGAAAAGUUAGUGACUCUUUUGGGGGCACCAGGGGCUAUAAUUUGAAUUCCUGAUAAUUUUGUUGAUAAUAAACCUUAAUGUUAUCUUCCUGCAGAGGACUUCUUUCAUUAUUUUAUUUGACCUAUGUAUUACU
rnacentral:lncRNA from 1 species